CAUGAACUGAAAUCUACAAAAGUAAGCCAGAGUAAGCCUUCCUCUUUCUUAGUUAUGAGUAUUUCAGGUAUUUGUUAAAGCAGUGGAAAGCUGAUUAACACAUCCUUAUCUUCCAGAGCUGAGUCCUUCUACCCAUCAGGAAAUGAGCGUUGUGGAUAGUCACAUGGAAAACUGCUGUGAGUUCUCCCAUCAGGAAUGAUUCCCAGAUUGAAUCCUGUCCAAUGAUGGGAUGAGUCCCAAGAGUCAUGGGGCUGGUGUCCUGAUCUUCAGUGAAAGCAGUACCUCAUGGCAGAGUAGGGUGUGCAGCAGCAGGUUUUCAGUCUGGACCUUGAGAAGCAACAUCUCCUCAGGGAUUCCAUGUGUUGAGAGUGAACUCAGAGCAACAGAAGUUGACCAAAACACCCUCGGCCUUCAAGAUGACCUUUUUUUCUCUGACCAAAAGGCAAUCUAUGUGCAGAGGUGGACCUGAAAGAAUCCUCUUUAUUCAAAAUGGUCAACAUCUCAGAGGGAGAACUGGCUCAACGAGGUGGUUCACUGAAGCACAUUAUUCCUCUGUAAGUUCAUCUGGAAGCUUUGACUUUCUUCUGGAUUCUUCCUUUGUGCAGGCAUAAAGUUAAUUUGUACUUUCUGCUUAAAAGUUGACUGUUCCAAUGCUCCAAAACAUUCUGAAAAUGAUUCAUCACAUUCAUGUUCUGUAUGAGUUUUGCUCUUGAAAUCACUUCUUUCCACACAUUCUGAGAGGAAAAAUGGUGUAUGGAGGGAUAAUGUUACGACAUCCCUAUUUGUCACCACCAGCGGGUCAUCAGAUGGAUAAAUCCAUAGAAUUCCUGCACAAGAAGUUGCAAGAACUUCAAAUAAGAGAGUUUGCUUCAGAUUGUCCACCUGUCUCUUCUGUGGAAAACUGUUUUUAGGGUCAUGAUAAUGCUUUGUAAAGACAGAAUAUUCCUCCUGCUUCUGCAAUACACAUCUCCUUCUCUUCUAUUUUCUGGGAGUAGUGUUGACAGUUUUCAUGAAUGGACAAUCCUUGGCCAGCUACUAUUCACCCAGCACAUCAGGGCC
rnacentral:lncRNA from 1 species